CGUCAUUCAGCUUCUGAAUCAAGUGCUUUCUUGCACUGAAAAAAGUUUAUUUCUAUGGUAAAAAUAAAAUCGAUAUUCAACGGUACACAUGACAUAUUACAUAAGAUAUAAGUUGUAAUUGUUUUGUGUGCUCUUGAAACACUUCAAUAAAUACAUGGUGGUCUGUCAAGUACUGGAUGUAAUGGAACCGGAAAGUAGAGGAAUAGUACUAGUCGAGUACAGGAGAUUUUAUGAAUUAAAAUUUUGAGUGUUGUAGCAUGUAAAUUGGACAAACAACACCUACUUAAUAAAUGGGAGGUAAGUGAUUUUUAUUAUAUAUUUUAGUCUUGUUAUGAAAGUAGUGUAUAUAAUAUGGGGUUUUGACCUGUAUGGGGUGAUUCUUGGCUCUUGAAUACCAGCAUCUGUUUUCAUCUCGGUCAUUAUGCUGUAUAGCUUGUUUAUUCCCAUGGCAGACUUCCUGAACCAGCAUUGCUGUGUCUUGUUGCCAGGAGUUAAGAAGAAGGGGCUGUCUUCUGUCAUCAUGUCAACAGGGCGUUUGUCGGCAUAUAGCUUGUAGAGAUGCACCGGAUCUCUGUCAGGUUGUUCGGGAACUGCAUAUGCCAGUGGCUUGACUUUCCUAUGAAUAGUUAAAAUGAUUUUCACCAGUACGGGUUUUUGUCUGACGCUCAGUGUCGAAGGUGAUGAAUUCUUCACCAGUUUCAAAAUCGAUUCCAAGGCUGACAUCACCCCAGCAUAGGGUGUGAAUUUCCUUGCCGGUUCUCAUCCCAAAAUGGGUUGUACAUAUAAGCCACAGUGAGUGUAAUAGAGCUCUUGGGCUUGAUUCUCCCAGAGUUUUAGCUGCGUACAUAGCUUCAAUAUGUUCAUUUGUUAAUGCCUGGGCUUGAUGCGGUUUAUUUCCAUAACCUUCUUUUUUCAGAGCUUUUUGUUUACUUUUUAAUACUUCCCUCACUUUGGCAAAUUCAGGGUCAUUUAUCAAAGAGUGCUUGUAGUUCAUGUGCCUUAAAUGCCUGUCGAUUGAG